ensembl:lncRNA
CUGCGGGGCUCGGCGGGCGGACCGCGGUGCCGCGCAGAGGGCUCUUCCCCUCACGCGCGGUCGUUCCCCUCAGCGCGCUCUGAAGCGCUGAGGUGUUUCUGCGUUAACCUCCUUUGAGAGGACGCUUGAAAGAAAUAAGCUUUAAAAUGUGUACCGGAGCGUUAACUGACGAUGCAGUCCGUAGUCGUUCAUCUGUCUCAGUUUGCCCGGUUGGAAACUAUUUUCCAGCCUGCCUGACCCUGUUAAAUACUCUGAUUUUCCCCACACCAUCACGCUGAGCGCCAGAAAAGGCAUAAAAUGCCCGUGGAGAAUGUCCUUGAGUGCUGUGUUACAGGUGGCCCAUGCAAGGUCUGGCACGAGAGUGCCCUUUACGUACACCAGCUCUGCAGUGCAGCCUCAUGGCUAAAGAAAAUCUCCUACAUGCCAGAUGAGAAACAGCAGAUGAGAAACUAAAGCAAGCAGGAUCGCCGGCAGUGAUAGCAGUCGCCUCCCUGCCGCUAUUUGCACUGACUGAUGACUCUUUAGCACUUCUUGUCGACACCAGGAGAGAGCCUACUGGCGUUAUGUUCUAAUGUGGGACUGCUGGUUAUGUCUGGUGAACAGAAACGUUCAGUGGUGCCACUCUAGGCUCCCUUACUGGGGCACAUCCCUGGUUUGCUGCUUUCCAAGCCUUCUCUGUGAAGCAGCAGAAACUCUGGUUUACCUCCUGGGCUGCAGCAUCAGUCCCUGGAGAAGGGAAGCCCAGUGCUGCUUUCACAUAGGCCUGGCUGUCACAUCAGCCCAGCGCUGCCCGCUCCGCGUGCCUCCCACACAAGUGACCUGGAACACAGCCCUGUGCUGACACAGCUAACAGCUCCUCUUGCCCAAGCUCACUCUACGCUGUGGGAAGGGGGAGAAGAAGAGGAAGAAGCAGAGGAAGAACAAUGGGGCUGUAGGCCUCGGUCCCAUCAGCACCAUCCGGUCCCAUAUAGACACACCAGGCUGCAUGCCUGCCUGUGUUGGCCUGGGCUUAGAGCACCGAUGCAUUACCUGCAGCCAUUGGCUUUCCCCAGCGUCACUUCACGGGGCCACGAGUGACGGACUGGCCCCAAGCACAGUAAGUAGGUUAAGGCUAAACUGUGAAGUUCAGAAGAGGCUGAGCUAAAUCCAUUGUGCAGCCUGGCUCAUGCGAUUUCCCAGCUCAGCUUUAUCAGAGCAGUACUAUCCACAUGCAGCAUUUCGUGGCCUCCGAUGCAAUGCUGAAGGAGCAAAUCUGAGAGCAUCUCAGUGCUGCUGGGGGUCAUCACCCUCAGAAACUGAUCAGCACUCAUACCUCAGCACUGAUACCACGCUGGCUGGCAAUCUUCUAACACGGUUAUCAGCAAUGUCUGCCUGCCCUGGCCUCUGGGUGAGGAAUGAACAGGCUGCAUCCCUCCCAGCAGCAAAGUACGCUUUAAUCUCCCUGUCAGCAGACUGCCUGCAGUGCAGAUGAUGCCCCCUGUUUUGGAGAAACAUAAAUACUCUCCGUACCGCUGAGCUCAGCGAUGAAAGUAUAUCAAAGCUGGCCUUAGGAUGCUCGUCCUGAGUGAUAACAGAAGUGCGGGUGUGAAAGGCAAG